rnacentral:rRNA from 1 species
ACGUAGGGGACAAGCGUUAUUCGGAAUUACUGGGCGUAAAGGGCAUGUAGGCGGCUUUGUAAGCCUGGCGUGAAAGUCACCGGCUCAACCGGUGGAUUGCGUUAGGAACUGCAGAGCUUGAGUCAUGGAGAGGAAGGUAGAAUUCCUGGUGUAGGGGUGAAAUCUGUAGAGAUCAGGAAGAAUACCAGUGGCGAAGGCGACCUUCUGGCCAAUGACUGACGCUGAGGUGCGAAAGUGUGGGGAUCAAACAGGAUUAGAUACCCUGGUAGUCCACACUGUAAACGAUGUGCACUAGGUGCUGGGGCGGAUGCUUCAGUGCCGGAGCUAACGCGGUAAGUGCACCGCCUGGGGAGUAUGCUCGCAAGGGUG